AGAGUUUGAUCAUGGCUCAGAUUGAACGCUGGCGGCAGGCCUAACACAUGCAAGUCGAGCGGAUGAAGGGAGCUUGCUCCUGGAUUCAGCGGCGGACGGGUGAGUAAUGCCUAGGAAUCUGCCUGGUAGUGGGGGAUAACGUCCGGAAACGGGCGCUAAUACCGCAUACGUCCUGAGGGAGAAAGUGGGGGAUCUUCGGACCUCACGCUAUCAGAUGAGCCUAGGUCGGAUUAGCUAGUUGGUGGGGUAAAGGCCUACCAAGGCGACGAUCCGUAACUGGUCUGAGAGGAUGAUCAGUCACACUGGAACUGAGACACGGUCCAGACUCCUACGGGAGGCAGCAGUGGGGAAUAUUGGACAAUGGGCGAAAGCCUGAUCCAGCCAUGCCGCGUGUGUGAAGAAGGUCUUCGGAUUGUAAAGCACUUUAAGUUGGGAGGAAGGGCAGUAAGUUAAUACCUUGCUGUUUUGACGUUACCAACAGAAUAAGCACCGGCUAACUUCGUGCCAGCAGCCGCGGUAAUACGAAGGGUGCAAGCGUUAAUCGGAAUUACUGGGCGUAAAGCGCGCGUAGGUGGUUCAGCAAGUUGAAUGUGAAAUCCCCGGGCUCAACCUGGGAACUGCAUCCAAAACUACUGAGCUAGAGUACGGUAGAGGGUGGUGGAAUUUCCUGUGUAGCGGUGAAAUGCGUAGAUAUAGGAAGGAACACCAGUGGCGAAGGCGACCACCUGGACUGAUACUGACACUGAGGUGCGAAAGCGUGGGGAGCAAACAGGAUUAGAUACCCUGGUAGUCCACGCCGUAAACGAUGUCGACUAGCCGUUGGGAUCCUUGAGAUCUUAGUGGCGCAGCUAACGCGAUAAGUCGACCGCCUGGGGAGUACGGCCGCAAGGUUAAAACUCAAAUGAAUUGACGGGGGCCCGCACAAG
rnacentral:rRNA from 1 species